rnacentral:lncRNA from 1 species
UCAGGGGGUAUGAAGGUUGCUGAAACAUGAGGGAAGGUCAAGAUUAGUUGGUUGUUGACUAAGCAUCCAUCCAGCUUCUUCGCUACUGGAGACAAGAGCUGUUUAUUUGACUAGGUAUGUGUGGGGCCUUGAUAACGUAGGUCAAACACCCCGAGCUGAAGAAGACAGUCACGGAAUUCAUAGAUGUUAGCCAAACUGGAGUUAUCUGAAUGUUAUAUGCUCGGAUGGGUGUAGAAUCUGAUUAAAAUCUCCUCCUAUGAACCAUGGCUUGGCAUCGAGAUCAAGAGUUGUAUGGAGGUUGAUAAGCUCUACCUAGCGAUCAAUUAUUUCAUCGCUUAAGUUGGAUGCAUAGACUGCUGUGAAGAUGAAAGGCGAGCAGUUGGGUAAAGAGAUCUCACACGUUACUAUCUGAUGAGUCUGCGAAAGGACACGAAGCUUUAGCGGAUCCUUCCAAAUCAGAAUUAUUCUUCCAUCAUCAUCAGAGAGGUGAUUUUAUUGAAAAUGCCAUCCUCCGCAAAGAGUAGACAUCAAAUGCGCCGACGAGAAUUCUUUGAUAUGUGUUUCCAAGAUUGCACCAAAAAGAGGUUUAUGGCUAUUAAGCCAAUUAAUAAAAGUCCGAUGUUUGUCCGGAUCAUUCAGACCGUGAAAUUUCCCAAAAAAGAAUUUGACACUCAUUGGGAAAAAAAUGGAGGAUCCCCAGCAGGCUGGAGAGAAGUAUCAGUAGUGAGGACCGAAAAAGGGUUGAAGGUAACAUGAGAAAAGUUAGGGGAAGCAGCCAAAAAAGUACCUAACCCUUCAUGAAGGAAAGGUGAAAUAGGGAUUGGGGUGGUAGCUAGGGUAUUAGUAACAAUGGUCUGGGAUGGGGAGAGAGUCGGAGAAGAUCGACAUCUCUUCAAGGAAGGUUUUAAAGGUUUGUCAGAAGGACUUUGUGGAAGGGAAGAUAUUUGAGAAGGUCCAGGCGGAGGGUUUUGGUUGUGGAAAUAGGAGACAAAAAAGAGGUUUUUGGGUGGAGAGAAGUGUUUUUAUGGAUAUGGUUUGGUGGGUUUUAUUUAUGAGUGACAUGAGUUUUUAGGAUAAGUGAAGGACCCGAUUUGGAAGGAGAAGUUGUGGCAGUAGAGGAGGAAGAGGAAGGUAGUUUCUUUUUCACUACAUAUUGGUUGUUGCCGGGAGUAUCAGUAACAGUUUUUUUCCUUUUCAGGGGUCUCUGUCGAUUUCCCUUUAUGUUUGUUUCCAAUGAUAAGGGCCUGAGGAACCGGGAGAGGGAUCUUUAAGCAAUUACGCGCUAUA